rnacentral:ncRNA from 1 species
AAGAAUAAAUUUAUUUCCUUACUUGCAUGAGUAGGUUUUAACCUUUAUCUUAUUAAAAGAAGCAUCAGUGAACUUUUAGGGUUAUUAAAAUAUGGCCAUGUAUCCUUUACAAAUAUAAUAUAUGAGUAAAAGGAUUUCGUGUCACUUCCGCUAAAAUGGUUGUAUAACGAGCUAUUUUUAUAAUCCGGUUUACUGAGGUUUAUUAAAAUCUUUGGGCCCUUUGCCCAUAUUGAUUUGAGUUGCUUCUAAAAAGCACUUUCUUAACCCACUCGUCUUGAAACACGGACCAAGGAGUCUAACAAAUGUGCGAGCGUAUAUAUGUUUUUAACUAUAAUAAAAGUAUUUUCAUUCUUUUAUAUUUACGCGCAGUUAAAGUAAAUUGUGCUUAACCUAUUUGUAGAAUAUACUGAGAUUGAUAAUAUCUAUUUUCACUUGGAACCUGAAAAUAGAUUUCUUCAGUUGAAGUAUACGCAUACAAACCCGGUUGGCAACUGUCAAACUGAGGGUGAGUAUAUUUGUUAGGACCCGAGAGGCUUUGAACUAAGCGUGGUGAGAUUGAAGUCAGACGAAAGUCUGAUGGAGGAUCGAAUUGAUACUGACGUGCAAAUCGUUCAUUU